ensembl:ncRNA F09C12.11 ncRNA
UAGUAGUGGCAACAUUACCGGGCGAAUUGUCCCCCGGGAUGGGACAGCCGGCUAUGUAAUCGAGUAAUGAGAAGAACGAAUAAACG